rnacentral:rRNA from 1 species
AUUGAACGCUGGCGGCAGGCCUAACACAUGCAAGUCGAGCGGGGGUAGCAAUACCCUAGCGGCGAACGGGUGAGGAAUGCUUGGGAAUCUGCCUGGUAGUGGGGGGAUAACGUUCCGAAAGGAACGCUAAUACCGCAUACGUCCUACGGGAGAAAGGGGGGGAUCUUCGGACCUCUCGCUAUCAGAUGAGCCCAAGCCGGAUUAGCUAGUUGGUGGGUAAAGGCCCACCAAGGCGACGAUCCGUAGCUGGUCUGAGAGGAUGAUCAGCCACACUGGAACUGAGACACGGUCCAGACUCCUACGGGAGGCAGCAGUGGGGAAUAUUGGACAAUGGGCGAAAGCCUGAUCCAGCCAUGCCGCGUGUGUGAAGAAGGCC